rnacentral:rRNA from 1 species
ACGUAGGUGGCAAGCGUUAUCCGGAUUUACUGGGCGUAAAGGGUGUGCAGGCGGUGAAGCAAGUGGGGUGUGAAAUCUCCAGGCUUAACCUGGAGGGGUUAUGCCAGACUGCUUUUCUAGAGGACGAGAGAGGGGGGUGGAAUUCCGGGUGUAGUGGUGAAAUGCGUAGAGAUCCGGAGGAACCCCAGAGGCGAAGGCGGCCCCCUGGCUCGUACCUGACGCUCAGCCACGAAAGCAUGGGGAGCGAACGGG